GUGAAAUGACCGAACUGCCCCUCUAUAAAACACACGCUCUUUUCCAAAACCCUAACGAAUCCCGCACCCUCUCUAUUAAACACACACACACACACUCUCUCUCUCUCCACUGCGUAAUCCCCAACAAUGGCGGCGCCGAUGAUGAGCGAGAGGAAGAAACGGACGCGGGAGCCUCCGUAGCGGCCGAUGAUGAUCUCCGAUCUGGGGUUUGGUCGGCGAUGAGGACGAUGGUGGCUUGGAUCAGUGUCUCAAAGAGAGAUUUGGGGGAAUUGAGGUAAGUUUGGAGCGAAAGAAGGAGAAUAUAUAGAGAGGAUUAGUGGAGAUGAGUAGAGGGGGAGAGGAGAGAGGAGAAAGGGAAAAGAGGGGAAGAAGAUGAGAAACUGGGAAUGAUUAAUCAAAUUCGUAUGUUCUGAAUAGAAAAGUCAUAAUUUUCUUUGUCCUUUUGCUUAUGCAUAGUCUAUGCUGACCAAUUUAUGUUGUUAUGCUCAUGAUGUUUUCAAUCUGGGGUGCCCUAAUACCUAUCUACGACGAUUCACGAAUAUGUGAUUCCCUUGUAAAUUUGAUCUUUAGAUUAUGAUACUUUACUAUAUUUUUUCCCCUUCUUUUGGCUCUGUCCAACAAGUUGUCAUUUUUAAAACUUUCUAUGAUAGACCGUGUGAUAGUGUUAGAUGCAUGAACACAAUGCGUUCGACCUGCCUUGCACCUGCAAAUAAGCGAAGUCUCAUCUCCUCAUUUUAGUGGUGCGGCUUUUAAGCAUUGGUGCGCAAAGGAAAAGCUGUUUUUCAGCAGCGGCUAGACAACCGUAGAAAUGGAUCCACAGAUCAAUGAUUCAAAGUGUCAUUUGUCUACUGAUUCCAUCUCACAUUUAUGCUACGAACGGCAAGUUGUAGGCAUGUUCGCAGAUGUUAGAAUUUUACUACGAUCAAGUGCUUCAAUAUAAACAACAUGUUGUGUAAUCUUCAGUUUUGGAUAGUGUUGCUUCUAGUAGAACUGUCACAGGCCUUUCUAUUCUCUAGCUUGCAUGAUGUUUAGUUUAUACGUUGACUUCUUCGUUUCAUCUUCACAUCAUUUUAUAGUUGGUAUGGGCAUAGGCUUUUGAACUAUUGGCUAAAUCAUACUAAUAUUUUUAGUUAUUUGGAAUGACUUGAUGUAUCAGCUUUAGGACAUCAAGAUUAGUUUUUAUUUUGAAGUGUGUAUUGAAGUUAUAAUUCUGCAUUACAUGAUGUGGUUUAGAUUGUAAUCUAAGAAUGUCCAUUAGGAAGUCCCAAGUAAAAUAAAACCCCUUUGAUUUUCUUCCUAAUUGUUUUAAUUACUUUAUCAUCUAUAAGUGUGGUUUCUUAGAAAUUAUUGCACCUUCCAAUAAAUAAAAAAAAUUCACCUGCUUAUUAUGGUGGUGUGAUUUUUAUCGUUGGUGCAAAAAAAAAAAAGCUGUCUUUGACAGCAGCGGCCAGACAACCGUAGGGAUGGAUCCACAGUGAAGCCGCCGCCCCAUGCUGUGGAUGUAAAAUAUUUUGAUAAUAAAUUGUGGCAUUCAGAGCUUCAGACCAAAUUUCAUUCGAUAUAUAGAAGAUUCUUUGAGAAAUCCGACAUUUGUCUCCUCAAUUUUGCAGAUGUUUGCUUUUUUUUUUCUGUGCUAAUUUAAUAGUAGCUCUUUUUUUUUCUUUUUUUUUUUUUUUCUGUUCUGCAUAAUUUUUAGGCGGCAGGGAUCCUGAAGAAGCUUGCCCCAACAAUCAGCAAUGCAGUAGACCACCGCCGAAAGAACCACUCUCUCGAGGGCCUCCAGGCUAAUGUUCAGAUGCUGAAGAUGUACAAAACCAAGCUUGUCAUCUUCCCAAGGAACUGGCCGCAGCCACGCAGGUGCAAGGCCGGUAUAUGCCGAUUUUGCGCGAGAAGCCGUCGGCCGAGGUCGUGAAGGUCCGACGAGUUGAAAUCUUUCAAGACCUACGCCAAGCUUCACGUCGAGAAGAUGAACCAGCGCCAGGCCCAGCUGAAGAAGGCUGCGGAGGCUGAGAAAGUUGAUAAGAAUUAUAACUUCGGAUCCUCGCAAAUCGCCACAAAACUAG